rnacentral:rRNA from 1 species
AUUGAACGCUGGCGGCAGGCCUAACACAUGCAAGUCGAGCGGAUGAAGGGAGCUUGCUCCUGGAUUCAGCGGCGGACGGGUGGGUAAUGCCUAGGAAUCUGCCUGGUAGUGGGGGAUAACGUCCGGAAACGGGCGCUAAUACCGCAUACGUCCUGAGGGAGAAAGUGGGGGAUCUUCGGACCUCACGCUAUCAGAUGAGCCUAGGUCGGAUUAGCUAGUUGGUGGGGUAAAGGCCUACCAAGGCGACGAUCCGUAACUGGUCUGAGAGGAUGAUCAGUCACACUGGAACUGAGACACGGUCCAGACUCCUACGGGAGGCAGCAGUGGGGAAUAUUGGAUAAUGGGCGAAAGCCUGAUCCAGCCAUGCCGCGUGUGUGAAGAAGGUCUUCGGAUUGUAAAGCACUUUAAGUUGGGAGGAAGGGCAGUAAGUUAAUACCUUGCUGUUUUGACGUUACCAACAGAAUAAGCACCGGCUAACUUCGUG